rnacentral:rRNA from 1 species
UACGAAGGGGGGCUAGCGUUGUUCGGAAUUACUGGGCGUGAAGGGCGCGUAGGCGGUACUUCAAGUCAGGCGUGAAAGCCCCGGGCUCAACCUGGGAACCGCGCUUGAGACUGGAGAACUAGAGUUCGGGAGAGGAUGGUGGAAUUCCCAGUGUAGAGGUGAAAUUCGUAGAUAUUGGGAAGAACACCGAUGGCGAAGGCAGCCAUCUGGACCGACACUGACGCUGAGGCGCGAAAAGCGUGGGGAGCAAACAGG